rnacentral:rRNA from 1 species
GAUUAUGGCUCAGGAUGAACGCUAGCUACAGGCUUAACACAUGCAAGUCGAGGGGCAGCAUUGGAGUAGCAAUACUCAGAUGGCGACCGGCGCACGGGUGAGUAACACGUAUCCAACCUGCCGCUUACUCGGGGAUAGCCUUUCGAAAGAAAGAUUAAUACCCGAUGGUAUAAAGAGUUCGCAUGUUCUCUUUAUUAAAGAAUUUCGGUAAGCGAUGGGGAUGCGUUCCAUUAGAUAGUUGGCGGGGUAACGGCCCACCAAGUCUACGAUGGAUAGGGGGUUCUGAGAGGAAGGUCCCCCACAUUGGAACUGAGACACGGUCCAAACUCCUACGGGAGGCAGCAGUGAGGAAUAUUGGUCAAUGGACGAGAGUCUGAACCAGCCAAAGUAGCGUGAAGGAUGACUGCCCUAUGGGUUGUAAACUUCUUUUAUAAGGGAAUAAAGUGAGGGACGUGUCCCUUUUUGUAUGUACCUUAUGAAUAAGGAUCGGCUAACUCCGUGCCAGCCGCCGC